rnacentral:lncRNA from 1 species
AAUCAAAGCGAUUAGAAAAGAACUUCUAGAGCCUUCCACCACCACAUCCACCCCCUGCCUUCUUGUGCCCCAAAGUUGCAGGAAUCAUGCCCUCUACUUUGCUUUCUUUUUCCACAGAUAAACCUUUGGCACUUCCAUGUAUAACUUUCCCAGGUGGGCACCAAUUUCUGUGUUUCUUCUCCUCCUCAAGGACAAGACUUCAGUGACCCUACUAACUGCCUCCUGCACGGAAACAUUCCCAUUUGCAUACAUACAAGGAUGGCAUUAUUUCUUUCCUCUUAAAAAUGAAAACUCUCCUGAUUUAAUAUCGCCUUCAGCUAGUACCUCAGAGCUCCCCUUUGCUUUAUGGUAACAUUUUUCCUCAAGAGAAUACGCAUCCUCCUUUCUCGCCUCGAAGUCUCUCUUAAAUGCAUUCCAAGCACUGUUGUAUUCUCUCUGCUUAUGUAGAAAUACUGCUGAUAACAGCUCACACAAAUAUAAUACUAUAUUCCAAGCAUUUCAUACGACUCUUUAGUUUUUUAAUAAUUCUCACAACAACCUUCAAGAUAGCUGGCAAAAGUAGAGUUGGCAUUAAAAUCCAAGCAGACACCUCUGAAGUCCCUUCUCUUGGCUACUACACUAUGUCACCUCUCUCACUCACCAGUAAUCUCCGCAUUCUGAAUAUAAUUACUAAACAUUGGUCUUAGUCUUCUCUAACCUAUUAGCAGCACUUAACGCAUGGAUUCUCUCUUUCAAAAAUCUUCCAUGGCCUCCCAUUGGCUUUGGGACUCUACACUCUUCUGGUUUUUCUUCUACUUCAUUGGUUGCAGUUCUCAAGAGGAACAGGGACGAUAAACAAAUGGAAAUCCCUGGUUCUUUGCCCUGAAGGGGGGGAUAUUUAUAUGCAGGAGGUAAGCUUGAUGAGCAAAGUCAUCUUUCUACAGUGUCUGGAGAGAGAAAUUCAAAGCGCUGUGGAUUUAGCACCAGUUCGUUCCUAAGUCUCCUGUGGAACUGUGGACAUUUUCAAGGCUUGGUGCUUAGGCUGCAUUUUAUUUUUAAUUGAAGCAUAGUUGAUUUGCAAUGAUUGUUAGUUUCUGCUGUAGAGCAAAGUGAUUCGGUUGUGUGUAUGUAUGUACACAUAUUUUUUCAUAUUCUUGUCCCUGAUGGUUUAUCACAGGAUGUUGAAUAGAGUUCCGUGUACUUUGUUUAUCCAUUCUAUAUAGAUUGCUUGGAUCUGCUAAUCCCAAACCCCCCAUCCUGCCCCUGCACCCCCUCAACUUGGCAACUGAGAGUCUGUUCUCUUUGUGCUUAAACUACAUUUUGAAAUAUCAGUAGGAGGCUGCCAGAUUGAGACUGUUCUAAGCUGAUGGAAGGCACAUGUGAACAUAGGAACCCAUAGAUACUUGAGGAAUAAUAGGCUCGGUGUGGUCAUUUUCACACACACACGCCUUUAUUUGAUUUUGAAUUAGUACAUCUGGGAAUUAGGCUGCAUUGCCAGCAGAAAUUGCAACAUGCUGUGGGGGGGCUUUGCAGCCACGUUCAGCCGAUCGUACAUUAGAGCCAAGCAGAGCCCUGUUACCAUGUGCUGCCACCCAGGCUGCAUUCACCGCCAAUCUGGUUUCAUUUCUCUGGGGUGGUUCCCAGACAUGGACAUUUUUGCUCCCUGGUGAGUCCAAUGCGUGGCCCGAGCCGAGAACCUUCAGGCCAGAAUAUAAGCAAUGAUGGGAGGAUGAACCGGAGAGCAAAUCUGGAGUUCGAGUCAAGGCUAAGGCUAUAGACAUUUUGGCCUAUGCUGGGGAGUUCGGAUUUUAUGUUCCAAAGCAAGGCUAGAGAAGGCUUUAUGCAAGAUCAGAAUGUGAGCAAACCAGUGUUUUGAGAACAAAAAUAACUCUAAAGAAUGGCCUGAGCCCAGGGGAAAAAAUAUAGUUGACAUAGUAUUGGCAUUUUUUUUUUUCUUGCUUUUUAGGGCCGCACCUGUGGCAUAGUCAAGUUCCAAGGUCAGGGGUCAAAUCAGAGCUGUAGCUGUCAGCCUAUACCACAGCCACAGAGACACAGGAUCCGACCCGCGUCGGCUACCUACACCACAGCUCAGGGCAGCGCCAGAUCCGUAGCACACCGAGCAAGGCCAGAGACGGAACCCGCAGCCUCAUGGGUCCUGGUCAGAUUUGUUUGUGCUGAGCCACAGUGGAACCCCUCAGGGAGUCCAAAUCUUAUUAUUUAGUGGCUUUCGACUGUUUCCUGUGCUCUGAACAUGUCCCAUCCUUAGUUUGGCAAGAAUUUCUCCCUCCCUCCCUUCCUGCUCAAAUAGCACCCAAUACAUCAAACUACACACACCACCCCACCAGUUCCGUCACCCCCUUUUUCAGCUUUUUUUCCUCCCACCCCAUCCAUUACUUCCUUUAAUGAUGAAUUAUUUCUACAAGGAAGAGCAUUGUGGGCACAGGAUGAAUUAUUCAUGAAAGGAAGGAGGGAGGAAAGCAGGAAGGCCUCUUAGGAAAAAAGCUUGUCUUAGGGGAAAAUGCCUGUUUCUGCUUCGAAGUCCGAAAGGCCAGGCUGCAGUGCGGAUGUCAGCAACUCACCUUCCAGGGGAAUAAAAAUAGUAAAGAAACAAGCUGGUAUACUUGGAGGCAUGUGAGCUUGGUGGCAUGAUAAAGGAAAGAAAAGUAAAAAUGUUGCAAGUUAAAUUUUCAGAGCUUUUACUUCCUCGACCCCUAGAUGGUUCAGAGAACAUGACAAGCACAUUCUCAAUUUUUACUCCACGAUUUCCUGUAUGAGAUGCUACCAUUUGGGUCCCCCUAAGAGAGAGAAUAGAAAAUGUGAAAUUCUUUGAAGUCUGCAACCAUCCUUACGUUGUUUAGCACGAGCUUCGGGGGUCUGGGAUGAUGUGAAUUUAAUUAGUGAUUGCUUGAUGCACCUGUUAAAGCCUUGCCUGGGAACCCUCCCUGUACCAGGCACAGCACUAGACCCAGCUCCUCAGGGUGACCCAGACUAGAUGACGUCCCUCAUCUGACUUACAGUUUACCGGAGGCAGACAAGCAUUUAAAUAAAGUGGUAUGAAAUUCAUGCGUCAUACGUUGUCAGGUGGUUUAUGCAUUCAAAGUGAUGGAGAAGUUAAGACAGGCCAAACUUCCUGGAUAUGAAUGAAGGUAAGAAUUUAAAAAAACUUUUAUAUUUAGUAUCUGAAAAUAAUGAUCAAAUGCAUCAUGCUCUCUCAACCUCAUCACUCGGAAUUUGAAGUAGCAAUAAACCCAGGACCAGACGGGGGGUAAACACUUGUUUCCAGAAAAGCUGCUCUGGGAGACACAAAUUGGGAUGGAACUUUGAGUCAGCACUGGGGUUUUUCUGACUUUUCCCGGUCCAGACUUUGGGACAGGGUCAUUUUAAUGUCUUUAAAACACCGCUUUUUGGUAACUGGCCGUGGCAGCCACCUUCAGACCGUCCUGAGGGAAUUCUAGGCGGCAUCACAGCAUCAAUGUUAACAUUUUAGUGCCUACGUGCUUACACUUCAUUACAAUAUAAUGUCUUUUACACUAGUUACAUCUACAAAAGCUCAUUUUCUCUGUCAAAUGAGGUGUCCAGAUGCGAAUUGCCACAACUGACUCUGGUAAGAUGCCUAAUCACACCCUACGUCAAAACCAACAAAGGCCGUCGCACGGUGCUCUCAAGUUCAUAUCUAGGCUCAGCCUAUUCUCAGCCUUGGGACGGGUCACACUCCAAGCUGUCAAGCCACUGUCUUCAACCGGUUCCUUUUCUCUCUUUUAACGUAUAUUUUCUGCAUUUUUACUGCCAUAAUUUUCCCUACACCUCUUCAAUUCUGUGUCUAUGAUUGCUUUGUAGUAUUUCCAGUUCUGAUGAAAUUCCAGGCGUGUUUCCCCAGAAAAGACACUACACCCUGAAUCUUUAUCUUUUCUUCAAAACAUAGCAACGCUCUUUCACGUAUUCCUCGUAUAUAUAUAUUUGAUAUAUAUAUAUAUUUAAUUUAUAUACAUAACAUAUAUUAAACUACAUAGUAUAGAUAUCAGGUUAAUUUGUACAUAUAUUACACAUAUAAAUUAUGUGUGUGUGUAUAUAUAUAUUUAUAUAAAUGUGAAUAUAUACGUAUAUAUUUUUUCCCCAUUAACACUUGCCUGGGUGGAGAAAAUAAAUGAUUGGUUAGGAAUUGUCAUUAAAUCAUGAAAGUGUCUAUCAGAAUUACAGGUGUAACGACAAAGCUAGUGAGGGAGCUACACUGGAAUCGGGGCCCUUUAAUGCUCUUUAAAACAUAACCUGUAGGUAACUGGCUUCUCUACCCACCUCGAAGCCGUCCUCACACCAAUCCCCUUGCUGUAAUAGAAGUUGUACUUUCUCCUUUAUGUGCAGUGGUGCUAAUUAUCCAGAAGGAUGUAGUAUCUCUUGGCACCAGCAUUUUGUCUGCUUAAAUCAUCUAUUGAUUUUAGGCUGAGCCAAACUUCAUGCAGCAAUUUUGUAUUCUGGUUAAGAUCUAAUGCUCUCCAGCCCCAUGGAUACCAAGUUGAAUUCUGGUACCACCAAUCACUUGUUAAAUGACUCAGGCAAGUUUCUCAAACUGUCUACUGCUCAAAUUCCUUGCCUGUGAAAUGGAAGCAAUAAUACUGUCUGCAUGCUUAAAUCAUGCCGUGUCUGAUACACACAAACCAUGUCAAUUAACUGAUUUAUUCUCAUCCCUCUGGUAUGAGUUUAAAUUCUGUCCCCUGGGAAGGUUUUGCUGAUCUCUAGACAAGUUUAAAUCCUUUAUAUAGAUUCAUAGCACACUUACUUCUUCCCUUCUUAGAGCUCAUCAUAUUACACUGAACAAGUGACAUUCACAAUAUUUAAUUUUUUAAAAUAGUUUUUGUUUCCUUCUCUGUGUUUUCACACUGGCUCCAUGGGGUCUUCCUUUUGACAUCUGAGUGCAUUUGAGAAUACGUCCCAGGACUUUCUAAAUUUUUUUUUUUCCUGCACCCAUGACACAUGGAAGUUCCCAAGCCAGAGGUUAAAUCUGUGCCACAGCAGUGACCUAAGCCAUAGCAGCGACCCUGCCAGAUCCUUAACCAGAGAACUCCUUAAUCAUCAUUAAAUAGUAAAAAUCUUUUUGGAUACUUCUAGCCACAAACUCUCUCAGUGUAGAGAUGAAUAUAUCUACUCUAGUGUAAUCAUAACGAAGGCUCAGGGUCAUGAAACUGACCAGUGUCCAUGGGGACUUAGGUCUAGUCCCUGGCCUCCUAAGUGGGUUAAGGUUCCAGCCUUGCUGAGAGCUGUGGUGUAGGUUGCAGAGAUGGCUUGGAUCUGGCAUUGCUGUGGCUGUGACAUAGGCUAACAGCUGUAGCUCUGAUUUGACCCCUAGCCUGGGAACUUCCAUAGGCUGCAGGUGCAGC